UGAUUCUGCAGAGUCCUGUCCUCCCUGUGAUGGAGGGAGAUGACGUCACUCUGAGCUGUCAAACAAAUACUUCCUCCAACCUCCCAGCUGCUUUCAUUAAAGAUGGCUCCCUCAUCAGGACUGAGCCUGCAGGUCACAUGACCCUCCACCAUGUGACCAGCUCUGAUGAAGGUCUCUACAAGUGUAACAUCAGUGGUCAUGGAGAGUCUCCAUCCAGCUGGAUCUCUGUCUCAGAGAAAAACACCAC